AGCGAACGCUGGCGGCGUACUUAACACAUGCAAGUCGAACGAGGAUCAUCGGGUUAGGCAAUAAUUCGGUGGUCCUAGUGGCGCACGGGUGAGUAACACGUGGGUGACCUGCCCUUGAGCUCGGGAUACCCCCGUCGAAAGGGGGCUAAUACCGGAUACGUUCCUCGGUCGAAAGACUGGAGGAGGAAAGGUGGCGCAAGCUGCCGCUCUUGGAGGGGCUCGCGGCCUAUCAGCUAGUUGGCGGGGUAACGGCCCACCAAGGCUAUGACGGGUAGCUGGUCUGAGAGGACGACCAGCCACACGGGGACUGAGACACGGCCCCGACUCCUACGGGAGGCAGCAGUGGGGAAUUUUCCGCAAUGGGCGAAAGCCUGACGGAGUGACGCCGCGUGUGGGACGAA
rnacentral:rRNA from 1 species